ACAAUGAUGAUGUCACUGAUUCUACUGCUGGCCACCCUGGGGCUCCUUGUUCAGGAUUCAUCAGGAGAAAUCAUCCUGACUCAGUCUCCUGGAUCUCAGUCUGUUGUUCCAGGACAGACUGUCUCUCUCAGAUGUAAAGCCAGUUCAAGUGUUAGCAAUGACUUGCAGUGGUACCUUCAGAAACCUGGAGAAGCUCCUAAACUCUUGAUUUAUCAUGCUACAAACCGUCAGUCUGGAGUUUCAGACCGUUUCAGUGGGAGUCAGUCUGGAACUGACUUCACUCUGACCAUCAGAGGAGUCCAGACUGAAGAUGAGGGGGGCGGGACGGACGCUAGUGACAGGAAACAACUGGGACACACACACACACACUGGCUCCAGAUGGUUCGGUGACCCCAGUGCUGGAAGGAAUGCGUUCGCUACGAGAAGAACUUGCAGAGAACUCUGAAGUGGACACUAAUAUGUUUGACUGGUCUGAUUCUGUAUUUGCUAAAUAAAAAGCCUUAGUGAUGCCCAUACUAGCAGGCCUAAUGAUUGCUGUAGCGCUGUUACCUCUCUGUGGAUGUUGCAUUAUUCCAUGUGCCAGAGGUUUGACUGUAAGAGCUAUUGAUAAAUGUGUGUCUAUUCAAAUGAUCACACUCCAUGAACAAGUGAACAUGCCAUUGUUGCAGCAGCAGGACUGUGAUGAAAGGAAGGACCCAGAUUCGUUUUCUUGGUUAAACUGGUGUAGAUUACAUCAUGAUGCCUUUCUAUGACCUGAUGAUCUUUUUGUAAUGCUGUAUAUUCUUGAGUGACCAAAGAAUGCUCACAAGGGAGGAGUAUGUGAUGGAAAUUUGAUAUUUGUGUUUACUGUUUCACCCUGCAUGCUCCAUCAGAAUAGACCAAUGUGUCACUGUGUGGUAUAUGCAACACUGACAUAAAAUCUUUGGUUUGAAAAUCUGAGAUAAGAACCAUCUCAUGUUGAAAGUACUUUAAAUUUCAUUUUUAAUCCUUGAAACUGUAUUGAGUAAUGUAGAUUUGUACAAACUACAUUUUAAAUGAAUUCAUGAAAACACCUGCUUUCAUUCUUUCAUUCACACCUUGUUUAUACCUGCAUUUAGAAAGUUCUCUUAAUGCAGCUAUAAAGAGAAACUUUACAGUGUCUCUGCUGAACAGAGACUUUGUAAGGUGAGACUCAAGGAGAAGAAGAAAUUACCUCAGAUAUAAUCCUGCACUGAUAAAAUGAAGGAAAAUGCAUCUUUGUUGGUAAAAAAUAAAACUAUCAUGACAUAUUA